rnacentral:rRNA from 1 species
UACGGAGGGUGCAAGCGUUAUCCGGAUUUAUUGGGUUUAAAGGGUCCGUAGGCGGAUCUGUAAGUCAGUGGUGAAAUCUCAUAGCUUAACUAUGAAACUGCCAUUGAUACUGCAGGUCUUGAGUAAGGUAGAAGUAGCUGGAAUAAGUAGUGUAGCGGUGAAAUGCAUAGAUAUUACUUAGAACACCAAUUGCGAAGGCAGGUUACUAUGUCUUAACUGACGCUGAUGGACGAAAGCGUGGGGAGCGAACGGG